GCGCACCAUGCUGCGCGAAGGAGUAGCGCAUCCUCCGGCUAUAUGCUGCGCGGAUAUUCUUUUAUUCCUCGGGAAUUCGCGGCGCGUUCGCAACGAAUUUGUUUACACGUUUACUUUCACUUAUUUAUCGCGGCGAGCCGGGCGAUUAAAAUUCAUGACUAUUCGCUUCCGUUUCAAUUUUUAAAGAAUCGCGCGCAACGAUACGUUUUCGCUGUUUGUUCGCUGGUUGUGCGUCUGAAAAUUGACAAAUAAUAAAUGUGUUUUCGCGAAGUUGCUGAUUCUGUUAGAGGUUAUAUGUGAAUUGGACUAAUUAUGUUUGGAAUAGUAAACGGAUUUUGGUAUUAUUUGUCACGGACAAAUACUUUUGUGAAGAAAUGAUAUAAUUAUUGUACAAUAUGCGCCGGUGGAUUUGAAAAUAAUGUACUAGAAAAGAUUUCUCUGUCGCAGAUGAAAAUUGUGUGUUCUUUCAGCGUUAAAUUUAUGUGACGUUGGAAAAACUUUUUUAACAACGAGCAUGGAAUAUCUUUUGAAUAAUUCAAGUGAUAUUGCAUCGUAGAUGAGACUUAAUACGAUUAAGAUAUUUUAGGGAGCUUGAUAAAGAAUUGUUUAAGGAACGGCAAAUAAGAGAAUCAAUCUCUCACAGACUUCUAGAGUAGAAUAAGAGAAAUCCUUAGGAGAAGAAUAAAUCUUCGCACUUUUAAAAAUACAAUUGACCUUGCUACACAUUGAGUGACAAUCUAAGAGAAUCUACCAUAUAAAAACAAGCCCCAAGGCUCGAAUAAUCGCGAAAAUUGCGAAUUAGGGAGAAUUCACUGUAUCUCUCACGUGCAACACAGCUGUCGCUUUACCGCCGCCCCGGCGGACAGGUUGUUUUCUUUGGCCCAGGAUGCACCAAAGUCGCUCUGAAUCAUCAUCAGACUCUACUUCGAAAUAAAAAAUUCGGAAUUCCCGAUUUCGAUGAAUCGAUGCAGAACGAAAGCAAACGCGAUCAGACAUCAAUGUUGCAUUCGAGGUCUGCCGAAGGUUCGCGCGUUUCAUUGCUGUUGCGGAGACUUUUAUUGGCUGCGAGUGCAUAAAUAUAUAUCCAGCGUCAAUCCAAACGAUCUUAGCCAGCCCCUAAGCACAGAAGACUAAAAGGAGAAUAUAGAGAUAAAAUAUAAGAAAUAUAAAUUAAAAAUAUAGGGAUAAAAUAUAAAAAAAUGUAAACUAAAAAUAUAGAGGUAAAAUAAACAAAAAUGUACAUUAAAAAUAUAGAGAUAAAAUAUAAGACUACCUUCGAUGGUCAUAUCGUGUUAUGUACUUCGUAUUCACGGGAGCGCCGUCGAAAGGCGGAGCCUCGCCGCCGCCGACACCGCGAACCAUUUCGAACGCAACGAAGAGUUUUGUUUUCACACGGUACUCGCGUGUACCGUUAUCGUGCGUCGCGAUCGCGUUUUAUCGCCGUCACUCCGUCCAGUCGAUCUCUCUCGCUCGCGCGCGCGCGUCGUGUUGGACUACCUGCGAUCGAGCCUCCCGAUAAAUCGAACACGAUUCCGCGGCUCGUGGAGACGACGCCGCGCCGCAAGAAACGCCUCGCGGACGCGAAUACGUUUCAUUCGGCCGCCGCGGACCGCCGACGCGUCGCCGCGAAGCGAACGGAAUUGAUCGCGCGUUGCGACAGGGCAUCCGAUACUUCUUACAUUUUAUCCCUAUAUUUUCAAUUUAUAUUUCUUAUAUUUUAUCCCUACAUUUUUAAUUUACAUUUUUUUUUAUAUUUCAUCCCUUAUAUUUACCCUCCGCAACACGCCGCUGUCGUAAGUCCCGCGUUAUUCGCAGCUCUCGACGCGCGGAUAAUUUACGGUAUUUUCGAAACGGGAACGAAGAUCGUUCCGAUCUUCGGCGAAGCCUCGAGGAAACGCCGGCUGCGUGUUCACGUGCUCUUCGAGGAUGCUUCCGAGAGACGUCGUUCGUGUUGUACGAGGAAUUAGAGCUGUCGAGCGUAGAGUUACUUCUGCGAGCGCAACA